rnacentral:rRNA from 1 species
GACGAACGCUGGCGGCGUGCUUAACACAUGCAAGUCGAGCGGAAAGGCCCUUCGGGGUACUCGAGCGGCGAACGGGUGAGUAACACGUGGGCAACCUGCCCUCAGCUCUGGGAUAACUCCGGGAAACCGGGGCUAAUACCGGAUACGACCUUCCUCCGCAUGGGGGGAGGUGGAAAGUUCUUCGGCUGAGGAUGGGCCCGCGGCCUAUCAGCUUGUUGGUGGGGUGAUGGCCUACCAAGGCGACGACGGGUAGCCGGCCUGAGAGGGCGACCGGCCACACUGGGACUGAGACACGGCCCAGACUCCUACGGGAGGCAGCAGUGGGGAAUAUUGCGCAAUGGGCGGAAGCCUGACGCAGCGACGCCGCGUGAGGGAUGAAGGCCUUCGGGUUGUAAACCUCUUUCAGCAGGGACGAAGCGGGAGUGACGGUACCUGCAGAAGAAGCACCGGCCAACUACGUGC